GGCCACGCCGUAAAACACCCAACUCUUCUGAAGUUGACCUCGAAUCAGGUAGGAAUACCCGCUGAACUUAAGCAUAUCAAUAAGCGGAGGAAAAGAAACCAACAGGGAUUGCCCCAGUAACGGCGAGUGAAGCGGCAACAGCUCAAAUUUGAAAUCUGGCUCUCGGGCCCGAGUUGUAAUUUGUAGAGGAUGCUUUUGGUGAGGUGCCUUCCGAGUUCCCUGGAACGGGACGCCAUAGAGGGUGAGAGCCCCGUCUGGUUGGACGCCGAACCUCUGUAAAGCUCCUUCGACGAGUCGAGUAGUUUGGGAAUGCUGCUCUAAAUGGGAGGUAUAUGUCUUCUAAAGCUAAAUACCGGCCAGAGACCGAUAGCGCACAAGUAGAGUGAUCGAAAGAUGAAAAGAACUUUGAAAAGAGAGUUAAACAGUACGUGAAAUUGUUGAAAGGGAAGCGCUUGUGACCAGACUUGGGCUUGGUUGAUCAUCCGGGGUUCUCCCCGGUGCACUCUUCCGGCCCAGGCCAGCAUCAGUUCGCCCUGGGGGACAAAGGCUUCGGGAACGUGGCUCUCUCCGGGGAGUGUUAUAGCCCGUUGCGUAAUACCCUGUGGCGGACUGAGGUUCGCGCAUUCGCAAGGAUGCUGGCGUAAUGGUCAUCAGUGACCCGUCUUGAAACACGGACCAAGGAGUCGUCUUCGUAUGCGAGUGUUCGGGUGUCAAACCCCUACGCGAAAUGAAAGUGAACGCAGGUGAGAGCUUCGGCGCAUCAUCGACCGAUCCUGAUGUUAUCGGAUGGAUUUGAGUAAGAGCAUACGGGGCCGGACCCGAAAGAAGGUGAACUAUGCCUGUGUAGGGUGAAGCCAGAGGAAACUCUGGUGGAGGCUCGCAGCGGUUCUGACGUGCAAAUCGAUCGUCAAACAUGGGCAUGGGGGCGAAAGACUAAUCGAUCAUA
rnacentral:sRNA from 2 species